AGUUCGAUCAUGGCUCAGAUUGAACGCUGGCAGGAUGUUUACAUGCAAGUCGGGCAGCGGCACGGACUUCGGUCUGGUGGCGAGUGGCGAACGGGUGGUAAUGUAUCGGAACGUGCCUAGUAGCGGGGAUAACUACGCGAAAGCGUAGCUAAUACCGCAUACGCCCUUCGAGAAGCGGGGACCUUCGGGCCUCGCACUAUUAGAGCAGCCGAUAUCGGAUUAGCUAGUUGGUGGGGUAACGGCUCACCAAGAGGCGACGAUCCGUAGCUGGUUUGAAGGACCUGAUAACCACUGGGACUGAGACACGGCCCAGACUCCUACGGGAGGCAGCAGUGGGGAAUUUUGGACAAUGGGGAAGCCACAGUCCAGCCAUCCCGCGUGUGCGAUGAAGGCCUUCGGGUUGUAACGCACGGCGGGAAAGAAACGGCUGGGAUGUACCCCGUGCAACUGACGUACCUGCAGAAUAGCCUUUCCCGGCUAACUACGUGCCAGCAGCCGCGGUAAUACGUAAGUGCAAGCGUUAAUCGGAAUUACUGGGCGUAAAGCGUGCGCAGGCGGUUCGGAAAGAUCUUGAAAUCCCAGAGCUUAACUUUGGAACUGCAUUUUUAACUACCGAGCUAGAGUGUGUCAGAGGGAGGUGGAAUUCCGCGUGUAGUGAAAUGCGUAGUAUGCGGAGGAACACCGAUGGCGAAGGCAGCCUCCUGGGAUAACACUGACGCUCAUGCACGAAAGCGUGGGGAGCAAACAGGAUUAGAUACCCUGGUAGUCCGCUACGAAAGCUUGAUGUCAACUAGCUGUUGGGGCCUUCAGACCUUGGUAGCGCAGCUAACGCGUGAAGUUGACCGCCUGGGGAGUACGGUCGCAAGAUUAAAACUCAAAGGAAUUGACGGGGACCCGCACAAGCGGUGGAUGAUGUGGAUUAAUUCGAUGCAACGCGAAAAGCCUUACCUACCCUUGACAUGUCUGGAAUCCCGAAGAGGUUGGGAGUGCUCGCAAGAGAACCGGAACACAGGUGCUGCAUGGCUGUCGUCAGCUCGUGUCGUAGAGAUGUUGAGUUGAGAAUCCGCAGCGGCGCAACCCUUGUCAUUAGUUGCUGCGAAGGGCACUCUAAUGAGACUACCGGUGACAAACCGGAGGAAGGUGGGGAUGACGUCAAGUCCUCAUGGCCCUUAUGGGUAGAGGGCUUCACACGUCAUACAAUGGUCGGGACAGAGGGUCGCCAACCCGCGAGAGGCCAAUCCCAGAAACCCGAUCGUAGUCUGGAUCGCAGUCUGCAACUUCAACUGCGUGAAGUCGGAAUCGCUAGUAAUCGCGGAUCAGCAUGUCGCGGUGAAUACGUUCCCAGGUCUUAGCACACACAACGUCACACCAUGGGAGUGGGUUUUACCAGAAGUAGUUAGCCUAACCGUAAGGAGGGCGAUUACCACGGUGGGAUUCAUGACUGGGGUGAAGUCGUAACAAGGUAA
rnacentral:rRNA from 1 species